UACGGAGGGAGCUAGCGUUGUUCGGAAUUACUGGGCGUAAAGCGUACGUAGGCGGCUUUGUAAGUUAGAGGUGAAAGCCCGGGGCUCAACUCCGGAAUUGCCUUUAAGACUGCAUCGCUUGAAUCAUGGAGAGGUUAGUGGAAUUCCGAGUGUAGAGGUGAAAUUCGUAGAUAUUCGGAAGAACACCAGUGGCGAAGGCGACUAACUGGACAUGUAUUGACGCUGAGGUACGAAAGCGUGGGGAGCAAACAGG
rnacentral:rRNA from 1 species